rnacentral:rRNA from 1 species
GUGUCAGCAGCCGCGGUAAGACGAACCGUGCGAACGUUGUUCGGAAUCACUGGGCUUAAAGGGCGCGUAGGCGGACUUGCAAGUCAGGGGUGAAAGCCCCCGGCCCAACCGGGGAAGUGCCUCUGAUACUGUGGGUCUCGAGCGGGAUAGGGGCAGCUGGAACUUCCGGUGGAGCGGUGAAAUGCGUAGAUAUCGGAAGGAACGCCGGUGGCGAAAGCGAGCUGCUGGAUCCCUCCUGACGCUGAUGCGCGAAAGCCAGGGGAGCGAACGGGAUUAGAAACCCUUGUAGUCC